GAUCUUUCUUUUUCUUCAUCUGCUCUCACUAUCUGCCUUUCUUCCCAUCGAUUCUCACUCCUCGAUCCAUCGUCUUCACCGCUGCAUCAUCUUCUCUUGCUAUCUUUACCAAAUCGAUUCCAUUCUUCUUGAACCCUAAAUCGAUCUUCAGAAACCUUUUUUACCACCGGAUCUCCUCAGCGUGUCUUCCUUAAAGUCGGGUUUGCCAAGCCUCGAUUUUGCCUUCAUAUAAUGGGCAGAAGUUGGAUUGUUGAUGGUAGAGCUAUUGCAUGAAAGGAUGAAACAUGUAGUCCGCCUUUGGUAAAUCAAAUCAAAGACUGGAGCAAUUCAGGAUUGACCACGAUGCCAUUUCAGGAUUGAUAGUUGUGAUGUGUCAGUAGAGUAGUGGCCUGGGCUUACCGUUGGUGUGAAAUUGGAACCCACUGAUCUGAUCUUGAGCUCUUAGAUCAUUCGGCAGCCAAAUGUGGUGUGGGAAAUCAAAAACCACACCAAUUAAUUAAUGAGUUCAUCCCUACACUUGAUGUAGAUGAAGGAAUAUGUUCCAAACAUCCU
rnacentral:lncRNA from 1 species